AGCGAACGCUGGCGGCAGGCCUAACACAUGCAAGUCGAACGAACCCUUCGGGGUUAGUGGCGGACGGGUGAGUAACACGUGGGAACGUGCCUUUAGGUUCGGAAUAACUCAGGGAAACUUGUGCUAAUACCGAAUGUGCCCUUCGGGGGAAAGAUUUAUCGCCUUUAGAGCGGCCCGCGUCUGAUUAGCUAGUUGGUGAGGUAAUGGCUCACCAAGGCUACGAUCAGUAGUUGGUCUGAGAGGAUGACCAGCCACAUUGGGACUGAGACACGGCCCAAACUCCUACGGGAGGCAGCAGUGGGGAAUCUUGCGCAAUGGGCGAAAGCCUGACGCAGCCAUGCCGCGUGGAUGAUGAAGGUCUUAGGAUUGUAAAAUCCUUUCACCGGUGAAGAUAAUGACUGUAGCCGGGGAAGAAGCCCCGGCUAACUUCGUGCCAGCCGCCGCCGUAAAAC
rnacentral:rRNA from 1 species